CACUGUUCUUCAACGACUGAAAUCUCCCAGGGUGGCACUGCCUUCUUGUUACCUAUGGAAAUCUGCGGGUGAAAAUGAGGGAGGCAACUCCACAAGGCUGGGAAAGUUGUCAGUAAUUUUCACCCUGUUUCCAAAGCCGAAUGAAAUACCUCUUCUUUCUUCAUCUCUGCAGCUUCUCCCUGGCAAAUGGCAGCACCCAAGUCAGGUUCUUGCUUCAAAUCUUCCUCAGCUCCACACUCUGCUGCAGUUAUGAUCAGCAAGGCUUUGCUCUGCAACUCCAGGGGAUGCACUUUGGAACUCAGAGCUCCUAAAUCCAGGAUUCUGCUGGAAAUGUCCCAAGGACAGUCAGACCUUGUUCCGUGUGAAUCCUGUCCCUCUCACCCCCCAGCUCCAAAGGCUUUUCCCACUGCCUGGCCACCUGUUAGCAGUGCUCAUGGAAGUCAAUGGAAAGCUGCCCAUGGAUAGAUUUUAACUUAACUUGAGCUGACUUUGUACCCUGCUUGUACAUUACACACUGGAGCUUCUGCUGUGGUUAAAGAUUUCAGGAUUUUGCAUUUCAGUGAUGCCUGUCACAAGAGUGGGUGCUGGGGCCUCACCCUGUCAGCUCUCUGUCACAUCAAACCUUGCACCUAACAGGUGCAGGAUGAGCCUCUCCCUUUUCUUCUUGAUGCCAGCAUUUAGAGUUCUAGUCAAACCUAUCUUGGGAAAGCAGAUCUGCCAGUGGGAAAACUGAAAAAAAUGCAAAAUUCUUAUUUUAUUUUUUUAAAGGAUCCUACCACAGAUACUACCAGAGCUAGUUUUGACUUUGGGUGCUGUAUUUGUGGCUUUGUUUUCAAUGCAGCUGUUAUUCAUUAAUUGAGGAUGGAAUAGAUCAAUUUUUCCCAAGCUGAUUUUGCGCAAACUAAACUCAACUUGGAGGGCUUAUUUGUUGAUUUAUUUUUACCUCCUUCUUCAUCUUGUUUUCAGCAGGGAUCAAAACAGACUCUUUUUUUCUGUCUCCCAGCCAGGCCUAGCAGGCUCAACAGGAUACACUUAAACAUCAAAGCUGACAGUGAAUUCUCAUUUUAUUCCUGAGAGUAAUUCUAAAAACAGAGGGAAGCUGAGGGACAGUAAACAUUUGAUGAUUCAAUACAGAAGAGAAACCAACCUUCAUCAAAUUGAUGAUCCCAAACUGAAGAGCCUAGUGCAAGGGGCAGUCUGCAGACAGAUGCUGAAGGUGUUUACUUGCUGAUUUGUUCAGUAUUUGAAAUGAUUAAUUCCUGUUGCCAAAUGUUUUAUCCACUGCUGUAUUCCUGCACCAAUUCCCAUUCAGACUCUUCCCAACUGAAGUGUUUACGGAAGCAAUUGCUGGCUGCUAAUCCUUGUGAGCACUUUCCAGUGUCUGCAACAAAAAAUGACACAUUUUAGAGCAGGUUGAGAACCCUUCUUUUAAAUUCUGAUGGAGCCUUUGCUGUUGUAACAAGGGAAAUUCCCUGGAUUACAGGCCAGGUAUCAGUUCAUGCUCUCACUGUGUCUCUGGUGCUCCUCAUCAGGAAUUCCUGCCUGUUCCUCUCAGCCUGUUGGGAGACCCUGCACAAGUUCCUAGCCAUGCCUUUCAGACCCCACAUUAAAAUGAUGUGCCCUAAAAAGCAAUUCAAAUUCUGCUUUAUUCAGGUUUAUCUCCACACUCCCAAGGAGUCCUUUACAACUCUGUGCAGAAAGUACAGGGGUGGGGGUGGAAAUCAGAUGUUUCUGCUCACCAGAGAAUGAUGCUGUGAAGUACCAAAUGUUCCAAGGCUACAUUUAUUUAGAUUUAUAAACUAAAAUUAAUCAAGAGAAGUCAUUCAUACCUAGAGUAACUUGGGAAAACAACCUCCAAGAAAAAUCCACAUGUCCACAGGAGUCUUCCAGGCUGCCAAAAUUAAUGUCAGCUAAAGUCAUGUGAUAUAGCUUUGGAAAUUUAAAACUGGGGCUUGGCUCAUUUCUUCCCCUUAUUGUAACUCUGAAUUUCUGUGUUGUUUCUGCAAUAGAAAAUCCUGUGACAAUAUAACUGGGGGGAACAGCAAUCCUCUCCAGAUUUAAAACCUUCAAUUUAGAUUUGCUAUAAGCAAAAUCUGCACAAGC